AUUGAACGCUGGCGGCAGGCCUAACACAUGCAAGUCGAACGAGCGGCGGACGGGUGAGUCAUAUAUGGGAAUCUCCUCUGUGGAGGGGGAUAACUACGGGAAACUGACGCUAAUACCGCAUACUAUCAGAUUCACCCAUAUGGGAUUAGCUUGUAGGCGAGGUAACGGCUGACCUAGGCGACGAUCCCUAGCUGGUCUGAGAGUAUGAUCAGCCACACUGGAACUGAGACACGGCCCAGACUCCUACGGGAGGCAGCAGUGGGGAAUAUUGGACAAUGGGCGCAAGCAUGAUGCAGCCAUACCGCGUGUAUGAAGAAGGCCGUCGGGUUGUAAAGUACUUUCGGUCGGAAGGCGUUACCGACAGAAGAAGCACCGGCUAACUCCGUGCCAGCAGCCGCGGUAAUUC
rnacentral:rRNA from 1 species